UCCGUAGGGUGCAAGCGUUGCCCGGAUUUAUUGGGCGUAAAGGGCGCGUAGGCGGCUCGGCACGUCCGUUGUGAAAUCGCCCGGCCCAACUGGGCGGGGUCAGCGGAUACGGCCGAGCUUGAGCAAGCUAGGGGGCAAUGGAAUUCCCGGUGUAGUGGUGGAAUGCGUAGAUAUCGGGAGGAACACCGGUGGCGAAGGCGGUUCUCUGGGCCUGACCUGACGCUGAGGAGCGAAAGCGUGGGGAGCGAACAGG
rnacentral:rRNA from 1 species